rnacentral:rRNA from 1 species
GGGCCCGCACAAGCGGUGGAGUAUGUGGUUUAAUUCGAUGCAACGCGAAGAACCUUACCAGGGCUUGACAUGUAAGUUGCAUUAGUUAGAGAUAGCUAUUUCUUCGGACCACUUACAAGGUGCUGCAUGGUUGUCGUCAGCUCGUGCCGUGAGGUGUCAGGUUAAGUCCUAUAACGAGCGCAACCCCUGUUGUUAGUUGCCAGCGAGUCAUGUCGGGAACUCUAACAAGACUGCCGGUGCAAACCGUGAGGAAGGUGGGGAUGACGUCAAAUCAUCACGGCCCUUACGUCCUGGGCUACACACGUGCUACAAUGGUCGGUACAGAGAGCAGCCACUACGCGAGUAGGAGCGAAUCUUCAAAGCCGAUCACAGUUCGGAUCGGAGUCUGCAACUCGACUCCGUG